CAACAAUAUUUGGAUAGGGUAGGUGUCUUGUGAUUUUUUGGACAAGUGUCUAUAAUAUGAGUUGGGUAAGGAAAAUGGUUUGCGAGUACAGAUCAAAAGGAUAAGAAUCACGGACUGUUCUGAGAGUCCUGAGAUUUCAUUGAAUUUGGGUGUGUCUACUCUCUAGAUACAAAGGAAUUAAAUACACUUUGUCACAUUCCUCAUUCUCUUUUUACUGUUAUCAUGUUUGUACUAAACAAAGUUUCAUAUUGAACAUUUCAGCCUUAAGUUAAUUUUUCAUUGAAUAAUUACUUAGUUCCUUAAAUAUUUUAACUUUUUUGAACUGUUGCAGGUUGUUCUGUCAUUACUUGCUUAAAAGGUUUAUGCUAUAGCUAUGCUUAUAAAAAAGGUUAUCCGGCUUUUUUGGCAAAUCAUCCACAAUUUGGAAUUGCAUUAAUGACUGCUGAUAGGAAAGCUGGGCAUCCAAUCUCGUCUGUAUUACCGCAUUUGAGCACUCAGGUACGGUUGGUUUUAGAUAUGAUCAUGUGUAUUUAAGAAGAUAUUUUUCUUCAUUUCUAGCUAUUAUUAUCGUGAAGACAAAUAGCUUAUAAUGGCUGCCUGGGAACAAAUACCAUGUCAUAGUAGGCUGUUUCAUGCUUUAAUAUGGUUUGUUAUUGUGAUUUUGGUGGACAAGUUUUAUAACCUUCAUUUUCAGGAUUUUUCUUCAUUAGUUGUAGAUGAAAAUUAAAAUUAAUUACAUAUGCCAUGUAAUGUAUUUUUUGUGUAA